rnacentral:rRNA from 1 species
GAUGAACGCUGGCGGCGUGCCUAAUACAUGCAAGUCGAACGAAACUUCUUUAUCACCGAGUGCUUGCACUCACCGAUAAAGAGUUGAGUGGCGAACGGGUGAGUAACACGUGGGCAACCUGCCCAAAAGAGGGGGAUAACACUUGGAAACAGGUGCUAAUACCGCAUAACCAUAGUUACCGCAUGGUAACUAUGUAAAAGGUGGCUAUACUACCGCUUUUGGAUGGGCCCGCGGCGCAUUAGCUAGUUGGUAGGGUAAAGGCUUACCAAGGCAAUGAUGCGUAGCCGAAUUGAGAGGUUGAUCGGCCACAUUGGGACUGAGACACGGCCCAAACUCCUACGGGAGGCAGCAGUAGGGAAUCUUCCACAAUGGGCGAAAGCCUGAUGGAGCAACGCCGCGUGGGUGAAGAAGGUCUUCGGAUCGUAAAACCCUGUUGUUAGAGAAGAAAGUGCGUGAGAGUAACUGUUCACGUUUCGACGGUAGCCAACCAGAAAGCCACGGCUAACUACGUG